rnacentral:rRNA from 1 species
AGAGUUUGAUCAUGGCUCAGAUUGAACGCUGGCGGUAUGCUUAACACAUGCAAGUCGAACAGUAACAUAGCUAGCUUGCUAGCUGAUGACGAGUGGCGGACGGGUGAGUAAUGCAUAGGAAUCUGCCUAUUAGUGGGGGACAACCUGUGGAAACGCAGGCUAAUACCGCAUAAGCCCUACGGGGGAAAGCGGGGGAUCUUCGGACCUCGCGCUAAUAGAUGAGCCUAUGUCAGAUUAGCUAGUUGGUGAGGUAAUGGCUCACCAAGGCGACGAUCUGUAGCUGGUCUGAGAGGAUGAUCAGCCACACUGGGACUGAGACACGGCCCAGACUCCUACGGGAGGCAGCAGUGGGGAAUAUUGGACAAUGGGCGAAAGCCUGAUCCAGCAAUACCGCGUGUGUGAAGAAGGCCUGAGGGUUGUAAAGCACUUUCAAUAGUGAGGAAUACCUGGGGGUUAACACUCCCCAG